UAUCUACUCCCUCCGUUCCAUAAUACAUGACUUCCAUUUGUCAAAAUAUAGAUGUAUCUAGACAUGUUUUAGUAUAUAGGUGCAUCCAUUUUUUCUAGACAUGUUUUAGUAUAUAGGUACAUCCAUUUUUGACAAAUGGAAGUCAAGUAUUUUGGAAUGGAGAGAGUAUAAC
rfam:Triticum aestivum genome assembly, contig: Triticum_aestivum_CS42_TGACv1_scaffold_642947_T_3DS-0.042171_5DL-0.041624